rnacentral:rRNA from 1 species
UAAUACGUAGGGAGCUAGCGUUGUUCGGAAUUACUGGGCGUAAAGAGCGCGUAGGCGGUCUGGUAAGUCCGUCGUGAAAUCCCAGAGCUUAACUCUGGAACUGCGGCGGAAACUGCCAGGCUUGAGUGCGGGAGAGGAGAGUGGAAUUCCCAGUGUAGAGGUGAAAUUCGUAGAUAUUGGGAGGAACACCGGUGGCGAAGGCGGCUCUCUGGACCGCAACUGACGCUGAGGCGCGAAAGCUAGGGGAGCAAACGGGAUUAGAUACCCCGGUAGUCCUAGCCGUAAACGAUGGGCACUAGGUGUAGGAGGUAUCGACCCCUUCUGUGCCGCAGCUAACGCAUUAAGUGCCCCGCCUGGGGAGUACGGUCGCAAGACUAAAACUUAAAGGAAUUGACGG